rnacentral:rRNA from 1 species
GUAGGGUGGCAAGCGUUGUCCGGAAUUAUUGGGCGUAAAGCGCGCGCAGGGCGGUCCUUUAAGUCUGAUGUGAAAGCCCACGGCUCAACCGUGGAGGGUCAUUGGAAACUGGGGGACUUGAGUACAGAAGAGGAAAGCGGAAUUCCAAGUGUAGCGGUGAAAUGCGUAGAGAUUUGGAGGAACACCAGUGGCGAAGGCGGCUUUCUGGUCUGUAACUGACGCUGAGGCGCGAAAGCGUGGGGAGCAAACAGGAUUAGAUACCCUGGUAGUCCACGCCGUAAACGAUGAGUGCUAAGUGUUAGGGGGUUUCCGCCCCUUAGUGCUGCAGCUAACGCAUUAAGCACUCCGCCUGGGGAGUACGGCCGCAAAGGCUG